GCCCUCAGGAGGCGCUGCCACUGCCCCAGGGGCUUGACCGUGCUGUUGCUGCCUGUUGCUGUGUGUGCGCGCUGCAUUGAGGCAGGUCGAUGUGGAUGUUUAAUCGUGUGUACGCUGUGCCGAGAGAAAAUGUCGUGCCCCUUGUGUGCUUUGAUGAUCACCUAACCCCUGGGACCGCGUAACGUAGCUCGCAGUACCUUUCGCGUGGUUCGCCGAUGUCGAUUAUCGUAGUUAUGGCCCGCUUGCGCUUUCUUUGUUCCCGGCCUCUGAUAAUAUCGCAUCGGAUCACAGUGCACGGAACAAUUUGUUGAGCUAUUACGUGCUGUAGUUCAUCCGCAAUUCAACAGUGUUUACGUCGGAAGGAUCGUCGUGCAGUCGACGCCGCGACCUGACAUGAAGGAGCGUUUGCCGACUACGCCUAGAAAGGGAUGUCAAGAUUUCGUGAACCAGAGGCACCGCAUAGGAACCUAAGACAUUUCUGCAGCCGGAACAGCACGGCAAAGCAUCUGAUCUGCAUGCUGCGACAAGAUAUGGCUGGGCCUGGUGAUGAAGUGUAAGCAGAACAUGCUAUGCUGCGAAUUGGUGCCAAUCUUCACAUCCGAGUUGUUCCCACGACAGUCAAGCACCACUGUGAUUUGCUUCAUUGGCAAGGUAAUAUACUAUGGUGCCCUGCAAGCUCUCACCAAAGCAACACAUUCCACUGGUUUUCUGUCAGAGUACCAUUAUAGAAUUUCGAAUAAACUAUGCUUGUCAGAUGUGUGACAUGCCCCGUCUUAAAAUCAGAGCGCUUCAGUAAUAAUGUUUGAAUGGGUGUACAUAAAAACACACGUAAAGUAUACUUAUGUAUUUCUUUUACAAGUCCUCUUCACCCGACGUUUUUCCAACUUAAAAUUACGCUUUGCUGUACAUUUGUUUUAUGCACAAACCAUUACAGCAACACAACACUGCAGUAAAAUGAGUACAAAUGAUAAAGCAUGCAGUACACCUGCAAGAAUUACAUUUGCAUACUUGUAGUACAUAUGAAAAUGAGCUACCGAUCUUUUUCAGGUUGCAUACUCUUAUAGGUCAUACAUGUCAAGCGCACUCAUAGGUCACACAAAACUCGUUCAAGGCUGAUCUCAAAUCUCAGUGACUUAUGUUAAGUGACAUCGGACCAGUCUAAAGAAACCUGGCUCAAAUAGGGAAAUAAGUAGGUUCGAACAGGGUCAAAUGGGAGUGGACUAAACGGGGACAAACAGGUCUGGGCUAAAUGGGUUCAAACGGGGGCAAACAGGUCUGGGCUAAAUGGGUUCAAACGGGGACAAACAGGUCUGGGCUAAAUGGGUUCAAACGGGGACAAACAGGUCUGGGCUAAAUGGGUUCAAACGGGGUCCCGUUCCAUAAUCCUAUUUGAUGAAACCCGUUUGAAAUCAAAUAGGA